GUCACCCGGGGCCCUUCGCUAAGGAGAUCCCGACUGAUAGCGCGUCUGUAAAGUGGAGCCGCAUCAGUAGAGAUGUGGAUGAUGAGGCCGAUCCAGUGCAGAUGUCUGGCGUUGUUUAGGAGUGUUUCCUGUGCUGCGGUAGAAGACGCACUGUGAGCGCUCUCGUCAGAAAUGACACCUUGUGGGUGGGACAGGACAGCAAUGAUAAGAUCUGACUCCAGUUAGAAUGGCGUGAGCUGGCAGUGGCUCCAGAGAGCGGGAUGCCGUCAUGCUGAUUUGCUGAUGGACCCCGAUAGAAGGAGGCGGCAGAAGGAAGGAACAGGGAGUGAUUCGCAGUGGAUGAGUCGGCGGCGCUGCAGUUGCACAGGUUUUGCAACCAUCCAUCACAACAUCAGGCUCUGGAUUGAAGACGCUGCUGCCUGUGAGCGAAGCGCGGCUGAAGGACGCGACCACUGCUGUCACGUUCCAGUGGCCGUGACCACCGUGAGCUGCUCUAGUCUGCAGCCAAUCCUGCCUGAUGGCGAACGAUGCAGAGGUGAUGGAGGGGUUGUUCCCAGGUUGCACAGAGGUGCAAUUACAGCUCGGCCAUUUGUUGUUGUUGUUCUUUGUUGUUGUUUUCUCUUAUUUUUUGCUCCAGGUUGA
rnacentral:lncRNA from 1 species